rnacentral:snoRNA from 1 species
UGACAGUGAUGAGCUCUUUGUCCCAAAACUGAUCUGUUGAUGAGAAAAAUCUUUUACGGAUCUGAUUACUGAGUU